GAUGAACGCUGGCGGCGUGCCAAAUACAUGCAAGUCGAGCGAACAGACGAGGAGCUUGCUCCUCUGACGUUAGCGGCGGACGGGUGAGUAACACGUGGAUAACCUACCUAUAAGACUGGGAUAACUUCGGGAAACCGGAGCUAAUACCGGAUAAUAUAUUGAACCGCAUGGUUCAAUAGUGAAAGACGGUUUUGCUGUCACUUAUAGAUGGAUCCGCGCCGCAUUAGCUAGUUGGUAAGGUAACGGCUUACCAAGGCAACGAUGCGUAGCCGACCUGAGAGGGUGAUCGGCCACACUGGAACUGAGACACGGUCCAGACUCCUACGGGAGGCAGCAGUAGGGAAUCUUCCGCAAUGGGCGAAAGCCUGACGGAGCAACGCCGCGUGAGUGAUGAAGGUCUUCGGAUUGUAAAACUCUGUUAUUAGGGAAGAACAAAUGUGUAAGUAACUAUGCACGUCUUGACGGUACCUAAUCAGAAAGCCACGGCUAACUACGUG
rnacentral:rRNA from 1 species